rnacentral:rRNA from 1 species
GAUGAACGCUGGCGGCGUGCCUAAUACAUGCAAGUAGAACGCUGAAGGAAUGAGCUUGCUCUUUCCGGAUGAGUUGCGAACGGGUGAGUAACGCGUAUGUAACCUGCCUGGUAUCGGGGGAUAACUAUUGGACACGAUAGCUAAUACCGCAUAACAUUCGACGUUGUAUGAUAUCUACUUAAAAGUUGCAAUUGCACCACUACCAGAUGGACUUUCGUUGUAUUAGCUAGUUGGUGCGGUACCGGCUCACCAAGGCGGCGAUACAUAGCCGAACUGAGAGGAUGAUCGGCCACACUGGGACUGAGACACGGCACAGAGUGAUACGGGAGGCAGCAGUAGGGAAUCUUCGGGAAUGGACGGAAGACAGAGCGAGAAACGCGGCGUGAGUGAAGAAGGUUGUCGGAUGGUAAAGCACUGUUGUAAGAGAAGAACGAGUGUGAGAGUGGAAAGAAGACACUGUGACGGUAUCUUACAAGAAAGAAACGGCUAACUACGUG